rnacentral:rRNA from 1 species
UUCUAAGGGCGUUGAAGCAUGAUCGCAAGGACAUGUGGAGCGCUUAGAAGUGAGAAUGCCGGUGUGAGUAGCGAAAGACGGGUGAGAAUCCCGUCCACCGAUUGACUAAGGUUUCCAGAGGAAGGCUCGUCCGCUCUGGGUUAGUCGGGUCCUAAGCUGAGGCCGACAGGCGUAGGCGAUGGAUAACAGGUUGAUAUUCCUGUACCACCAUUAUUCGUUUUAAGCGAUGGGGGGACGCAGUAGGAUAGGCGAAGCGUGCUGUUGGAGUGCACGUCCAAGCAGUGAGAUUGAGUGUUAGGCAAAUCCGGCACUCUUAAGAUUGAGCUGUGAU